rnacentral:rRNA from 1 species
UACAGAGGUGGCAAGCGUUGUUCGGAAUUACUAGGCGUAAAGGGCGCGUAGGCGGCCUUCUAAGUCAGACGUGAAAUCCCCCGGCUUAACCUGGGAACUGCGUCUGAUACUGGGAGGCUAGAGUGCGGGAGAGGGAUGCGGAAUUCCAGGUGUAGCGGUGAAAUGCGUAGAUAUCUGGAGGAACACCGGUGGCGAAGGCGGCAUCCUGGACCGACACUGACGCUGAGGCGCGAAAGCUAGGGUAGCAAACGGG